AACGAACGCUGGCGGCAUGCCUAACACAUGCAAGUCGAACGAGACCUUCGGGUCUAGUGGCGCACGGGUGCGUAACGCGUGGGAACCUGCCCUUAGGUUCGGAAUAACUCCCCGAAAGGGGUGCUAAUACCGGAUAAUUUCUUCGGACCAAAGAUUUAUCGCCUUUGGAUGGGCCCGCGUUGGAUUAGCUAGUUGGUAGGGUAAAAGCCUACCAAGGCGUCGAUCCUUAGCUGGUCUGAGAGGAAGAUCAGCCACACUGGGACUGGGACACGGCCCAGAAUAUUACAGGAAGGAGGAGGGGGGGAUAUUGGAAUAUGGGCGAGAGCCUGAUCCAGCAAUGCCGCGUGAGUGAUGAAGGCGUGAGGGUUGUGAAGCUCUUUUACCCGGGAUGAUAAUGACAGUACCGGGAGAAUAAGCACCGGCUAACUCCGUG
rnacentral:rRNA from 1 species